GCACCGGCUAACUCCGUGCCAGCAGCCGCGGUAAUACGGAGGGUGCGAGCGUUAAUACGGAAUUACUGGGACGUAAAGACGCAUGCAGGUGGUUUGUUAAGUCAGAUGUAGAAAGACCCGGGGCGUCAACCUACGGAAUUAGCAUUUAGUAAACUGGCAGACUAGAGUACUGUAGAGGGGGGUAGGAAUUUCAGGUGUAGCGGUGAAAUGCGUAGAGAUCUGAAGGAAUACCGGUGGCGAAGGCGGCCCCCUGGACAGAUACUGACACUCAGAUGCGAAAGCGUGGGGAGCAAACAGGAUUAGAUACCCUGGUAG
rnacentral:rRNA from 1 species